rnacentral:rRNA from 1 species
UACGGAGGGUGCAAGCGUUAAUCGGAAUUACUGGGCGUAAAGGGUGCGUAGGCGGUUGUUUAAGUCUGUUGUGAAAUCCCCGGGCUCAACCUGGGAAUGGCAAUGGAUACUGGACAGCUAGAGUGUGUCAGAGGAUGGUGGAAUUCCCGGUGUAGCGGUGAAAUGCGUAGAGAUCGGGAGGAACAUCAGUGGCGAAGGCGGCCAUCUGGGACAACACUGACGCUGAAGCACGAAAGCGUGGGGAGCAAACAGG